CUCCCUACUUGGCCUAAGGUUGAGCAGUUUUGCUAUUCAGCAUCAGUGCUGCCAGCUCACGUAUCCUGGGAAUGCAUAUUGCAUAUUCAGGAAACAGAGACAAAUCUUUUUCACUUGAGUCAAGAGGGUUCAGGGCUUGUCAUCUGUUUCUGGGAUAUAGAGAAAUGGAAAAUAGAAGAGUUCUAACCUCAUUCUGUAUUGCAAGGGAAGGAGCUUGUCAUAUAGUCACUUGUGUUGGACCCUUGAAUGGCUCAACUCACUGUCCUCGUACAGUGAUCACUUCAAAGAAGCACGUGUUUCACUGAAUACAACCAGGGGCCCAUCUAUCUCAUGCCUCUAGCUUUUCAUCCUCCUCCCUUGAAAAUUAAGACCCUGUUCCAAACUCACCCCGGAUGGUUUAUGAGACGGAUUUUGUCAGCCAGUUUUGUUUCUGAACUCACAAUGAAGGAACCACAGGGUGGCAGUGUAACAUUGCACAGUUCAAACAAGAGGGCAUGAGACUGCAUCAUCCCAAGUGCACCAACCAG
rnacentral:lncRNA from 1 species